AUAUGUGAAUUUGAAUUAUGUAUCCGGCAGGCAGUAUGUUUAUGGAAAAAAUAAAGUCAAGUCAAUAGAUUACUAAAUUGCUACCACAUUCGUAAAGGACAAAAAUAGCUAUAGUAGUAGGACAUCAAAAACAAGCCACAAACAGGCAUUAUUCACCAUUGUCCACAAUUCUUGAGAAGAACAGCUUGGCUCUUGUACACCCCUGGAAUCAUUGCCGAUGACUGAUUGAACUGUAAGAAAAGAAGGUGAGGAAGGAAGAAUCCUCGCUGGCCUGAGGUAGAGUGGUUAUGGAAUAGCUCGUAGUAACUCCAGCUACUUUGGAGAGAAGUGGUGCUUCAUUGCAGACAACCUGAUGUGGUGACGUGACCCUGAGCACUUUGGCAUUUCAGGCAGGCUCUGUGAGGAGACUGAAGAAUGAGACAUCUGUCACUGAGGGGAAUUUGGGCUGAAGUAUUGUCUCCCUCAGUACGUGGGGAACUGAACUGCAUACACAGCUACAGGGAGUGAAGAGAGGGCAGCUCACAGCAGUAAGAUUACGUGCCCUCUGAACUGCCUUGCACAAUUGCACCAAGCAGGAGAGCUGUGCCAGGACCUAGCAAUAGCACAAGGCGUCACAGGAGGGAGGAGAGAUUGAUAAGUGACUGACAUGCUAAAAGAUACCAUAAAGGUGAGCAGGGCAAUGCUGCACAAAACAUAACUGUAGAGAUGGCAAGGUUAGUCAAUUCCAUGUAUUCAAGCCAUUUUCUUCCAUCACCCCCAGCUUCUGAUCUGGACAGAAAUAUCAGUCAAACUAUUUUUUUUAAUCUUUUAUGAA